rnacentral:rRNA from 1 species
UACGUAGGGUGCAAGCGUUAAUCGGAAUUACUGGGCGUAAAGCGUGCGCAGGCGGCUUUGCAAGACAGAUGUGAAAUCCCCGGGCUUAACCUGGGAAUUGCAUUUGUGACUGCACGGCUAGAGUGUGUCAGAGGGGGGUAGAAUUCCACGUGUAGCAGUGAAAUGCGUAGAUAUGUGGAGGAAUACCGAUGGCGAAGGCAGCCCCCCUGGGAUAACACUGACGCUCAUGCAACGAAAGCGUGGGGAGCAAACAGG